rnacentral:rRNA from 1 species
UACGAAGGGGGCUAGCGUUGCUCGGAAUCACUGGGCGUAAAGCGCACGUAGGCGGCUUGUUAAGUCAGGGGUGAAAUCCUGGAGCUCAACUCCAGAACUGCCUUUGAUACUGGCGAUCUUGAGUCCGGGGGAGGUGAGUGGAACUGCGAGUGUAGAGGUGAAAUUCGUAGAUAUUCGCAAGAACACCAGUGGCGAAGGCGGCUCACUGGCCCGGUACUGACGCUGAGGUGCGAAAGCGUGGGGAGCGAACAGG